UUUUUAUGGAGAGUUUGAUCCUGGCUCAGGACGAACGCUGGCGGCGUGCCUAAUACAUGCAAGUCGAGCGAACGGAGAAGGAGCUUGCUCCUUUGACGUUAGCGGCGGACGGGUGAGUAACACGUGGGCAACCUACC
rnacentral:rRNA from 1 species